GUGCCAGCCGCCGCGGUAAUACAGAGGGUGCGAGCGUUAAUCGGAUUUACUGGGCGUAAAGCGUGCGUAGGCGGCUGAUGAAGUCGGACGUGAAAUCCCUGAGCUUAACUUAGGAAUUGCAUUCGAUACUGGUCAGCUAGAGUAUGGGAGAGGAUGGUAGAAUUCCAGGUGUAGCGGUGAAAUGCGUAGAGAUCUGGAGGAAUACCGAUGGCGAAGGCAGCCAUCUGGCCUAAUACUGACGCUGAGGUACGAAAGCAUGGGGAGCAAACAGGAUUAGAUACCCUGGUAGUCCAUGCCGUAAGCGAUGAGUGCUAAGUGUUAGAGGGUUUCCGCCCUUUAGUGCUGAAGUUAACGCAUUAAGCACUCCGCCUGGGGAGUACGGCCGCAAGGCUGAAACUUAAAUGAAUUGGCGG
rnacentral:rRNA from 1 species